ensembl:snRNA U6 U6 spliceosomal RNA
GUGCUUGCCUUGGUAGCACACACACUGAAAUUGGAAUGAUACAGAGAUUAGCAUGGCCCCGCACAAGGAUGACAUGCAAGUUCAUGAACUGUUCCAUAAUUUU